AAACGCCCUUCGGGGCUUCUUGGUGAUUCAUGAUAACUUAACGGAUCGCAUGGCCUUGCGCCGGCGACGGUUCAUUCAAAUUUCUGCCCUAUCAACUUUCGAUGGUAAGGUAUUGGCUUACCAUGGUUUCAACGGGUAACGGGGAAUUAGGGUUCGAUUCCGGAGAGGGAGCCUGAGAAACGGCUACCACAUCCAAGGAAGGCAGCAGGCGCGCAAAUUACCCAAUCCUGAUACAGGGAGGUAGUGACAAUAAAUACUGAUACAGGGCUCUUUUGGGUCUUGUAAUUGGAAUGAGUACAAUUUAAACCUCUUAACGAGGAACAAUUGGAGGGCAAGUCUGGUGCCAGCAGCCGCGGUAAUUCCAGCUCCAAUAGCGUAUAUUAAAGUUGUUGCAGUUAAAAAGCUCGUAGUUGAACCUUGGGUCUGGCUGGCAGGUCCGCCUCACCGCGUGUACUUGUCCGGCCGGGCCUUCCUUCUGGAGAACCUCAUGCCCUUCACUGGGCGUGUUGGGGACCAGGACUUUUACUUUGAAAAAAUUAGAGUGUUCAAAGCAGGCCUUUGCUCGAAUACGUUAGCAUGGAAUAAUAAAAUAGGACGUGCGGUCCUAUUUUGUUGGUUUCUAGGACCGCCGUAAUGAUUAAUAGGGACAGUCGGGGGCAUCAGUAUUCAAUUGUCAGAGGUGAAAUUCUUGGAUUUAUUGAAGACUAACUACUGCGAAAGCAUUUGCCAAGGAUGUUUUCAUUAAUCAGUGAACGAAAGUUAGGGGAUCGAAGACGAUCAGAUACCGUCGUAGUCUUAACCGUAAACUAUGCCGACUAGGGAUCGGGCGAUGUUCUUUUUCUGACUCGCUCGGCACCUUA
rnacentral:rRNA from 1 species